rnacentral:rRNA from 1 species
UACGUAGGGGGCAAGCGUUGUUCGGAAUGACUGGGCGUAAAGGGUGCGUAGGCGGUGUAGCAAGUUAGAAGUGAAAUACCUAGAGCUUAACUCAGGUGCUGCUUCUAAAACUGCUAUACUCGAGUGCAGUAGAGGAAAGUGGAAUUCCUAGUGUAGCGGUGGAAUGCGUAGAUAUUAGGAGGAACAUCAGUGGCGAAGGCGACUUUCUGGACUGUAACUGACGCUGAGGCACGAAAGUGUGGGGAGCAAACAGG